CCUACGGGUGGCAGCAGUGGGGAAUAUUGGACAAUGGGGGCAACCCUGAUCCAGCCAUGCCGCGUGUGUGAAGAAGGCCCUCGGGUUGUAAAGCACUUUCAGUGAGGAAGAACGCCUGGUGGUUAAUACCCAUCAGGAAAGACAUCACUCACAGAAGAAGCACCGGCUAACUCCGUGCCAGCAGCCGCGGUAAUACGGAGGGUGCGAGCGUUAAUCGGAAUUACUGGGCGUAAAGCGCGCGUAGGUGGCUUGAUAAGCCGGUUGUGAAAGCCCCGGGCUCAACCUGGGAACGGCAUCCGGAACUGUCAAGCUAGAGUGAAGGAGAGGAAGGUAGAAUUCGCGGUGUAGCGGUGAAAUGCGUAGAGAUCGGGAGGAAUACCAGUGGCGAAGGCGGCCUUCUGGACUGACACUGACACUGAGGUGCGAAAGCGUGGGUAGCAAACAGGAUUAGAUACCCCAGUAGUC
rnacentral:rRNA from 1 species